rnacentral:rRNA from 1 species
CACGUAGGGCGCAAGCGUUGUCCGGAAUUAUUGGGCGUAAAGGGCGCGUAGGCGGCCCGCUAAGUCGAACGUGAAAUCCCUGGGCUCAACCCAGGAACUGCGUCCGAUACUGGCAGGCUUGAAUCCGGGAGAGGGAUGUGGAAUUCCAGGUGUAGCGGUGAAAUGCGUAGAUAUCUGGAGGAACACCGGUGGCGAAGGCGGGUCUCUGGGCCGAUACUGACGCUGAGGAGCGAAAGCGUGGGGAGCAAACAGG